AUGCAGUAUUCGAUAAGCUUUUGUUUGUGGGAGUCAAAUCCCCAUCCGAUCUCUGGUAUCUGUUUGGUUAUGGUACUCCAUAUGGUGUUCAGGGCUAGAGCCGUGUUGGUGUGUGGGGAGUCGUGGCACUCCCUUCAGCGGCAUCCUAUAUGGUUUUAGAUUAUGUCUAUUAUACCUUCCUUCGUACGCUGCAUGGCUCUUGCCUGGACUGGAGGUGCGCUGUGUGGCUUAGCUAAGUAUAGU